rnacentral:rRNA from 1 species
ACCAGCAGCCCUAUCACCCUGCAACUCGCAACCAGCAACGCACUGAAGCUAAGCAGGUGUGAGCCUGGUCAGUACCUGGAUAGGAGACCUCCUGGGAAAAACUAAGGUUGCUGCUGGAA